GACGAACGCUGGCGGCGUGCCUAAUACAUGCAAGUAGAACGCUGAAGGAGGAGCUUGCUUCUCUGGAUGAGUUGCGAACGGGUGAGUAACGCGUAGGUAACCUGCCUGGUAGCGGGGGAUAACUAUUGGAAACGAUAGCUAAUACCGCAUAAGAGUAGAUGUUGCAUGACAUUUGCUUAAAAGGUGCAAUUGCAUCACUACCAGAUGGACCUGCGUUGUAUUAGCUAGUUGGUGGGGUAACGGCUCACCAAGGCGACGAUACAUAGCCGACCUGAGAGGGUGAUCGGCCACACUGGGACUGAGACACGGCCCAGACUCCUACGGGAGGCAGCAGUAGGGAAUCUUCGGCAAUGGACGGAAGUCUGACCGAGCAACGCCGCGGGAGUGAAGAAGGGUUUCGGAUCGUAAAGCUUUGUUGUAAGAGAAGAACGAGUGUGAGAGUGGAAAGUUCACACUGUGACGGUAUCUUACCAGAAAGAGACGGCUAACUACGUG
rnacentral:rRNA from 1 species